GACGAACGCUGGCGGCGUGCUUAACACAUGCAAGUCGAACGGAAAGGCCCUGCUUUUGUGGGGUGCUCGAGUGGCGAACGGGUGAGUAACACGUGAGUAACCUGCCCUUGACUUUGGGAUAACUUCAGGAAACUGGGGCUAAUACCGCAUAGGAGCUCCUGCUGCAUGGUGGGGGUUGGAAAGUUUCGGCGGUUGGGGAUGGACUCGCGGCUUAUCAGCUUGUUGGUGGGGUAGUGGCUUACCAAGGCUUUGACGGGUAGCCGGCCUGAGAGGGUGAACGGCCACAUGGGGACUGAGAGACGCCCCAGACUCCUACGGGAGGCAGCAGGGGGGAAUAUUGCACAAUGGGCGGAAGCCUGAUGCAGCAACGCCGCGUGCGGGAUGACGGCCUUCGGGUUGUAAACCGCUUUCGCCUGUGACGAAGCGUGAGUGACGGUAAUGGGUAAAGAAGCACCGGCUAACUACGUG
rnacentral:rRNA from 1 species